GCCAGCAUGGCAUAGUGGUUUAAGUGUUGGACUACGACUCUGGAGACCAGGAUUCAAUUCCCAGCUCAGCCA
rnacentral:tRNA from 1 species